CAGUGAUAAGAGUGCUUUUCUUCUAUUUUGUUUGUAUACAGUAUAGAGGCACUAGGCACAAACUAUAUACUGACUUGCUAUUCUUUCUACAUGUUGGCUGACCUUUAUCCACAUGUAUGGACAGUAGACAUAUAUACAAAUUACAUAACAUUUGAGUGGAAUCAUUAGUGGAAAUGUUUCUUGUAACAGGUCUUGAACAACAGAAUGAGUCCAAAGGAUUGUUAGAGCAUUUCCUUCGAACUGACCAUACAGAUUGAUAGUGGUGAAACAGGCCUUUGAUGGCUUGCUUUAGCAUUAAGCCAUGUUGUUUUGCAGCUGUAUGGGGCUUUCCAUUGGCUUGAUGAUUUAAGUGAUUAACUUGCAUGAGCGUAACUUCCUGUCAAGAUAAAUCUUGCAGGGUUGUACACUCUCUUAGUGUCUCCACACUUAGGAUCCCCAGCAUGUCGGUGUCCUUUUGGAUGUCUGGACAGUCCGGUGGUGAAAUGGUCUCCAUCUCAACAGUGAUGGCUGUUCGGCUGUACUCUCCUUUAUUGCUGCUGUGUCUGCUGUUUAAGGCUCAUGCCAAAGGUGAGCUCGGUUCUGGGAUCUGGGGGUCCAUGUGGAUUUGAACAGAUUAAUUAACCUGCUUCAGUAUUUCUGACUAAAAUGCGUUCAGUUUUGCUCACCAGUAGAUGAAAUGGAUUAGCAGUUAGCAAGUAUCUCUUCUUUUACUCAUCAGAUGUAUGCCACCCAGAAAUCAGUCUGUCAAAGCCUGUAUACACGGUGUGUCUCGGGGACUACUUCAACCUGUCCUGUCAGUUUGUGUGCCUGUCUCUGUCGCACCAACGGCAGCUAUGGCACGGCAAGCAGUUGCUGCUCAAUAUGAGUGUUGCUACUCCUAACAGUACCCUCCAUUACUACAAGUUCAAUGCCACCAACGAACACAACGGGACGUAUGUCUGCAAGACCGAGCCGGCACAUGCCAUUAGUCCCAUCAUUCAAAUCCGCAUCAAUGGUACAUGUGAGGAGAAGAGUAACAGUGAGGCGAACACUGUGGAGAGUGUGUCAUUUCGCCUGGUGGUCUGGUAUCUGCUCUGUAAAGCUGGAGCUUUCGUUCUCUUCAUCACCGCUACGUUCCUGCCAAUCUGCCGCGUCCACUAAUCUCAAACACACACACGCAGGCACACACACAUUAGUGAUUACAUUGAACACAGUAAGUAUGUUUACAGCGUUGUGAAACUUAAUUACUGCAGUCAAAAUAAUUUCUUUUAAAAAUAUGAAUUGUUCCUGACA
ensembl:lncRNA